CAGAGUAUAGUGUAAUAUACAACAUAUUCGUUUUGGGUAUGAAAGAUAUUGGUUUAAAUCCAAUUACUCUGA
rfam:Babesia bovis strain T2Bo apicoplast, complete genome, whole genome shotgun sequence.